rnacentral:rRNA from 1 species
UACGUAGGGUGCAAGCGUUGUCCGGAAUUAUUGGGCGUAAAGAGCGUGUAGGCGGUUAGGUAGGUCCGUUGUGAAAACUCGAGCUCAACCUCGAGACGCCGAUGGAAACCCCCUAACUAGAGUCCGGAAGAGGAGAGUGGAAUUCCUGGUGUAGCGGUGAAAUGCGCAGAUAUCAGGAAGAACACCCGUGGCUAAGGCGGCAUCCUGGACCAACACUGACGCUGAGUGAGCGAAAGCCAGGGGAGCAAACGGG